rnacentral:rRNA from 1 species
UCGAGUGGGUUUAGACCCACGGCAAACGGGUGAGUAAUACCCAGGAACGUACCCUUAGUUGAGCAUAAUCCACCGAAAGGUGGGAUAAUACUCAAUGUGAUCGCAAGAUUAAAGUCGCAAGACGCUAAGGAAGCGGCCUGGGCACCAUCAGCUAGUUGGUAAGGUAAUGGCUUACCAAGGCUUUGACGGUUAGGGGCCCCGAGAGGGGAAACCUCCACACUGGAACUGAGACACGGUCCAG